rnacentral:rRNA from 1 species
UACAGAGGUCUCAAGCGUUGUUCGGAUUUAUUGGGCGUAAAGCGCGUGUAGGCGGCUUUGCAAGUCGGGUGUGAAAGCCCUCAGCUCAACUGAGGAAGUGCGCCCGAAACUGCAGAGCUUGAGUGCCGGAGAGGGUGGCGGAAUUCCCCAAGUAGAGGUGAAAUUCGUAGAUAUGGGGAGGAACACCGGUGGCGAAGGCGGCCACCUGGACGGUAACUGACGCUGAGACGCGAAAGCGUGGGGAGCAAACAGG